AGUGAACGCUGGCGGUAGGCCUAACACAUGCAAGUCGAACGGCAGCACAGUAAGAGCUUGCUCUUACGGGUGGCGAGUGGCGGACGUGUGAGGAAUACAUCGGAAUCUACUUUUUCGUGGGGGAUAACGUAGGGAAACUUACGCUAAUACCGCAUACGACCUACGGGUGAAAGCAGGGGAUCUUCGGACCUUGCGCGAUUGAAUGAGCCGAUGUCGGAUUGGCUAGUUGGCGGGGUAAAGGCCCACCAAGGCGACGAUCCGUAGCUGGUCUGAGAGGAUGAUCAGCGACACUGGAACUGAGACACGGUCCAGCCUCCUACGGGAGGCAGCAGUGGGGAAUAUUGGACAAUGGGCGCAAGCCUGAUCCAGCCAUACCGCGUGGGUGAAGAAGGCCUUCGGGUUGUAAAGCCCUUUUGUUGGGAAAGAAAAGCAGCAGGUUAAUACCCCGCUGUUCUGACGGUACCCAAAGAAUAAGCACCGGCUAACUUCGUG
rnacentral:rRNA from 1 species